GGCUGAGAUGUGGGUAGUCCGCACGAGCGCACCUUGUCUUAGUUGCAGCAUUCAGUUGGGGCACUCUAAGGAGACUGCCGGUGUUAAACCGGAGGAAGGUGGGGAUGACGUCAAGUCCUCAUGGCCCUUAUGUCCAGGGCUACACACGUGCUACAAUGGCCGGUACAAAGGGUAGCGAGACCGCAAGGUUGAGCGAAUCCCAAAAAGCUGGUCUCAGUUCGGAUUGGAGUCUGCAACUCGACUCCAUGAAGUUGGAAUCGCUAGUAAUCGCGGAUCAGCAUGCCGCGGUGAAUACGUUCCC
rnacentral:rRNA from 1 species